rnacentral:tRNA from 1 species
GUCCCUGUCGAUUAGUGGUCAAAUCAUCUUGUUGUGGUAUCGAUUUGUCGUUGUCCAUUGCUCCGAGAAGCUGGAAGUUCGAAUCCUCCCUGGGACA